rnacentral:rRNA from 1 species
GGGUUGUGAGGUUAAGCGACUAAGCGUACACGGUGGAUGCCCUGGCAGUCAGAGGCGAUGAAGGGCGUGCUAAUCUGCGAUAAGCGCCGGUAAGGUGAUAUGAACCGUUAUAACCGGCGAUACCCGAAUGGGGAAACCCAGUGUGAUUCGUCACACUAUCAUUAACUGAAUCCAUAGGUUAAUGAGGCGAACCGGGGGAACUGAAACAUCUAAGUACCCCGAGGAAAAGAAAUCAACCGAGAUUCCCCCAGUAGCGGCGAGCGAACGGGGAGGAGCCCAGAGCCUGAAUCAGCAUGUGUGUUAGUGGAAGCGUCUGGAAAGGCGCGCGAUACAGGGUGACAGCCCCGUACACAAAAGCGCAUGUGCUGUGAGCUCGAUGAGUAGGGCGGGACACGUGGUAUCCUGUCUGAAUAUGGGGGGACCAUCCUCCAAGGCUAAAUACUCCUGACUGACCGAUAGUGAACCAGUACCGUGAGGGAAAGGCGAAAAGAACCCCGGCGAGGGGAGUGAAAAAGAACCUGAAACCGUGUACGUACAAGCAGUGGGAGCGUGUGACUGCGUACCUUUUGUAUAAUGGGUCAGCGACUUAUAUUCUGUAGCAAGGUUAACCGAAUAGGGGAGCCGUAGGGAAACCGAGUCUUAACCGGGCGUUAAGUUGCAGGGUAUAGACCCGAAACCCGGUGAUCUAGCCAUGGGCAGGUUGAAGGUUGGGUAACACUAACUGGAGGACCGAACCGACUAAUGUUGAAAAAUUAGCGGAUGACCUGUGGCUGGGGGUGAAAGGCCAAUCAAACCGGGAGAUAGCUGGUUCUCCCCGAAAGCUAUUUAGGUAGCGCCUCGUGAAUUCAUCUCCGGGGGUAGAGCACUGUUUCGGCUAGGGGGCCAUCCCGGCUUACCAACCCGAUGCAAACUGCGAAUACCGGAGAAUGUUAUCACGGGAGACACACGGCGGGUGCUAACGUCCGUCGUGAAGAGGGAAACAACCCAGACCGCCAGCUAAGGUCCCAAAGUCAUGGUUAAGUGGGAAACGAUGUGGGAAGGCCCAGACAGCCAGGAUGUUGGCUUAGAAGCAGCCAUCAUUUAAAGAAAGCGUAAUAGCUCACUGGUCGAGUCGGCCUGCGCGGAAGAUGUAACGGGGCUAAACCAUG